UGCGUAGGCGGGAGAUUAAGUCAGUGGUGAAAUCCUGCAGCUUAACUGUAGAACUGCCAUUGAUACUGGUUUCCUUGAGUAUAGUUGAAGUGGGCGGAAUGUGUAUUGUAGCGGUGAAAUGCUUAGAUAUUACACAGAACACCUAUUGCGAAGGCAGCUCACUAAACUAAUACCGACGCUGAGGCACGAAAGCGUGGGGAGCAAACAGGAUUAGAUACCCUGGUAGUCC
rnacentral:rRNA from 1 species